AUUGAACGCUGGCGGCAGGCCUAACACAUGCAAGUCGAACGGUAACAGGAAGCAGCUUGCUGCUUUGCUGACGAGUGGCGGACGGGUGAGUAAUGUCUGGGAAACUGCCCGAUGGAGGGGGAUAACUACUGGAAACGGUAGCUAAUACCGCAUAACGUCGCAAGACCAAAGAGGGGGACCUUAGGGCCUCUUGCCAUCGGAUGUGCCCAGAUGGGAUUAGCUAGUAGGUGGGGUAACGGCUCACCUAGGCGACGAUCCCUAGCUGGUCUGAGAGGAUGACCAGCCACACUGGAACUGAGACACGGUCCAGACUCCUACGGGAGGCAGCAGUGGGGAAUAUUGCACAAUGGGCGCAAGCCUGAUGCAGCCAUGCCGCGUGUAUGAAGAAGGCCUUCGGGUUGUAAAGUACUUUCAGCGGGGAGGAAGGGAGUAAAGUUAAUACCUUUGCUCAUUGACGUUACUCGCAGAAGAAGCACCGGCUAACUCCGUG
rnacentral:rRNA from 1 species